CCGAGUUUACAACUCCCAAACCCCUGUGAACAUACCAAUUGUUGCCUCGGCGGAUCAGCCCGCUCCCGGUAAAACGGGACGGCCCGCCAGAGGACCCCUAAACUCUGUUUCUAUAUGUAACUUCUGAGUAAAACCAUAAAUAAAUC
rnacentral:misc_RNA from 1 species